rnacentral:rRNA from 1 species
UACGUAGGCAGCAAGCGUUGUUCGGAGUUACUGGGCGUAAAGGGUGUGUAGGCGGUUCUUUAAGUUUGGUGUGAAAUCUCUCGGCUCAACCGGGAGGGUGCGCCGAAUACUGAGGGACUAGAGUGUGGGAGAGGAAAGUGGAAUUCCUGGUGUAGCGGUGAAAUGCGUAGAUAUCAGGAGGAACACCGGUGGUGUAGACGGCUUUCUGGACCAUAACUGACGCUGAGACACGAAAGCGUGGGGUAGCAAACAGG